rnacentral:rRNA from 1 species
UAAGUAGGGAGCAAGCGUUGUCCGGAAUCAUUGGGCGUAAAGAGCGCGUAGGCGGCCGUGUAAGUCCGUUCUGAAAGUCGGAGGCUCAACCUCCGAAAGCGGAUGGAUACUGCACGGCUAGAGUCCGGAAGAGGCGAGUGGAAUUCCUGGUGUAGCGGUGGAAUGCGCAGAUAUCAGGAGGAACACCAACGGCGAAGGCAGCUCGCUGGGACGGUACUGACGCUGAGGCGCGAAAGCGUGGGGAGCAAACAGG